rnacentral:rRNA from 1 species
GAUGAACGCUGGCGGCGUGCCUAAUACAUGCAAGUCGAGCGAACAGACGAGGAACUUGCUCCUCUGACGUUAGCGGCGGACGGGUGAGUAACACGUGGAUAACCUACCUAUAAGACUGGGAUAACUUCGGGAAACCGGAGCUAAUACCGGAUAAUAUAUUGAACCGCAUGGUUCAAUAGUGAAAGACGGUUUUGCCGUCACUUAUAGAUGGAUCCGCGCCGCAUUAGCUAGUUGGUAAGGUAACGGCUUACCAAGGCAACGAUGCGUAGCCGACCUGAGAGGGUGAUCGGCCACACUGGAACUGAGACACGGUCCAGACUCCUACGGGAGGCAGCAGUAGGGAAUCUUCCGCAAUGGGCGAAAGCCUGACGGAGCAACGCCGCGUGAGUGAUGAAGGUCUUCGGAUCGUAAAACUCUGUUAUUAGGGAAGAACAAAUGUGUAAGUAACUAUGCACGUCUUGACGGUACCUAAUCAGAAAGCCACGGCUAACUACGUG